GGUUAUUUGGCUGUCAUUCUUAUCAGUAUCACUAGACUGUGACAAACUGAUUCACAUAUAAUUUAAAACAAUACAGCAACAUAAAUUAAACCACUUUCAAGUUAAACUGCACACUUAUCACACAUUAUCACAAUCACCAUUUACACAAAAUAAACAGUUAACAGCUGUAUUCAGAACAUAUUAUUGGAAGGUAUACCAAUUUUAGUUUAGAUUUAUUUUAGGGAUUCUUAUGUAUACAUUUUCUUAAUUAACUUCAUUACUUUAAUCUACUAUAGUAUUGUAUUUAAAGAAAGGAUCCAUUUAUAUAGCGCGCUCAUAACUCAACUAUUUGUAUAAAACUACCAUUAACUAAUCUGAGAUGAUGCUGCAUCAACUUAAAUCUUACAGAAAUUGAACAAACAUCUGGACCAGAUUAAACAGACAUGGUUUCACCUGAAUCUUUCAGAACUC